rnacentral:lncRNA from 1 species
AACAACAAAGAAAAGAAACUAACUUGCACAAUUUUCAGCCUCUGGAGAGCAAUGCACAGUUUCUUCUACAUUUCGUGAUGAUUGUGUUCUAAAGAUACUCUUCUGGACUGUAAAGGUGCUUGACUCGGGUUACUUGGUUGUCCUAUCUCUACAGAUGCAUCAGAUACUCGUCCAGUCUGUAUGUGUGGCUGAGACGUUUCUCUAGAAUUAUCACGUCCUUGAAAAUUUUCACGACCACGGCUCGUCCCGCCUCUCCCACGUUUUCCUCAUCCAAUUCCUCUCAUUUCCUGCAAUAAAACAUACAAAGAAAAUGAUCUACAUUUCGUGACAAUUGUGUGUCUAAAGAUACUCUUCUGGAAUGUAAAGCUGUUUGAAUCGGGUUACAUUAUUUUCCUAUCUCUACAGAUGCAUCAAAUACUCAUCCGGUCUGUAUCUGUGGCUGAGACGUUGCUCCAGAAUUGCCACGUCCUUGAAAAUUUUCACGACCACGACUCGUACCGCCUCCCUCACGUUUUCCUUCUCCAAUUCCUCUCAUUUUCUGCAAUAAAACAUACAAAGAAAUAGAUUGAUCAUAAUAGAGAAAAUAAUAAUUUAUUUUCAGAUGAAUUAUUCUACAUUUUUAUGUGCAUA